GAUGAACGCUGGCGGCGUGCCUAAUACAUGCAAGUCGAGCGAACAGACGAGGAGCUUGCUCCUCUGACGUUAGCGGCGGACGGGUGAGUAACACGUGGAUAACCUACCUAUAAGACUGGGAUAACUUCGGGAAACCGGAGCUAAUACCGGAUAAUAUAUUGAACCGCAUGGUUCAAUAGUGAAAGACGGUUUUGCUGUCACUUAUCGAUGGAUCCGCGCCGCAUUAGCUAGUUGGUAAGGUAACGGCUUACCAAGGCAACGAUGCGUAGCCGACCUGAGAGGGUGAUCGGCCACACGGGAACUGAGACACGGUCCAGACGCCUACGGGAGGCAGCAGUAGGGAAUCUUCCGCAAUGGGCGAAAGCCUGACGGAGCAACGCCGCGUGAGUGAUGAAGGUCUUCGGAUCGUAAAACUCUGUUAUUAGGGAAGAACAAAUGUGUAAGUAACUAUGCACGUCUUGACGGUACCUAAUCAGAAAGCCACGGCUAACUACGUG
rnacentral:rRNA from 1 species